rnacentral:lncRNA from 1 species
AUGAAUUGAAGAACCUGGAGAACGAUGAAGAACGAACCAGUUGCUGCAAAAGUACAAUGUUGAGGAAGAUCCGACAGAUCCGGCUCCUCCUCCGCUCUCCUCUUCUCUCUCCCUAUUUUCUAGAUUACAACUAGAACUAACUAGAACUAGAACUAGAGGAACUAGAACUAGAACUAGAUGAACUAGAACUAGAUCUAGAUGAACUAGAGGUAGAAGUAGAAGAACUAGAGGGAUCCUCUCUACUUGGAUGAAGAAUUGAAACCCUAGCUUUGAUUCUGUAGAAGAGGUAUGCCUCUAGGGGCUGGUGGG